AACGUAGGAGACAAACGUUAUCCGGAGUUACUGGGCGUAAAGGGCGUGUAGGUGGUUUCGUAAGUCUGGCGUGAAAUAUCUCGGCUUAACCGAGGCAGGUCGUCGGAUACUGCGGGACUAGAGGACGGUAGAGGCGUGUGGAAUUCCGGGUGUAGUGGUGAAAUGCGUAGAGAUGUGGAGGAAUACCGGAUGGGCGAAGGCAGGUCGUCGUGGGCCGAUACUGACGCUGAGGAGCGAAAGCGUGGGGAGCGAACAGG
rnacentral:rRNA from 1 species